CCUCUGACGUUAGCGGCGGACGGGUGAGUAACACGUGGAUAACCUACCUAUAAGACUGGGAUAACUUCGGGAAACCGGAGCUAAUACCGGAUAAUAUAUUGAACCGCAUGGUUCAAUAGUGAAAGACGGUUUUGCUGUCACUUAUAGAUGGAUCCGCGCCGCAUUAGCUAGUUGGUAAGGUAACGGCUUACCAAGGCAACGAUGCGUAGCCGACCUGAGAGGGUGAUCGGCCACACUGGAACUGAGACACGGUCCAGACUCCUACGGGAGGCAGCAGUAGGGAAUCUUCCGCAAUGGGCGAAAGCUUGACGGAGCAACGCCGCGUGAGUGAUGAAGGUCUUCGGAUCGUAAAACUCUGUUAUUAGGGAAGAACAAAUGUGUAAGUAACUAUGCACGUCUUGACGGUACCUAAUCAGAAAGCCACGGCUAACUACGUGCCAGCAGCCGCGGUAAUACGU
rnacentral:rRNA from 1 species